GAAGAGGAAGACAAGAGGAGGGAGGCGGAGGCUGUAGAAUGCAAAUGAGCAAAGGGCAGAGAGGUUGAUGAGGGGAUAGAAAGAAGGCGGGGAGUACAAACUCAGCCUGCAUGGUGUCCUGAGGCUCCAGGUCUUUGGAGGGCGGGCUACAUCACAGUUGUGCGUAUGCGGAACGAAGAGCUUCAAGAGAAAGGUUUCUCCAGGAGAGGGCAGCAAUGGGCCCCUACAGGAGGGCCCAGCCCUUCAGGGCUUCUCUAAUGCCGGUCCUGGAGGAUUGCUGGCCAGAGACGGAUGGACGGAGAAUCUGACUGAUCCUCAACAUUGGGGAACUUCCUGCCCAAGAAGUGUGAAAGGGAGACAGGGGCCUUCUAAGGCUGGAGCAGGC